rnacentral:rRNA from 1 species
AUUGAACGCUGGCGGCAUGCCUUACACAUGCAAGUCGAACGGCAGCACGGGAGCAAUCCUGGUGGCGAGUGGCGAACGGGUGAGUAAUAUAUCGGAACGUGCCCAGUAGUGGGGGAUAACUACUCGAAAGAGUGGCUAAUACCGCAUACGACCUGAGGGUGAAAGCGGGGGAUCGCAAGACCUCGCGCUAUUGGAGCGGCCGAUAUCAGAUUAGCUAGUUGGUGGGGUAAAGGCCUACCAAGGCAACGAUCUGUAGUUGGUCUGAGAGGACGACCAGCCACACUGGGACUGAGACACGGCCCAGACUCCUACGGGAGGCAGCAGUGGGGAAUUUUGGACAAUGGGCGCAAGCCUGGUCCAGCAAUGCCGCGUGCAGGAAGAAGGCCUUCGGGUUGUAAACUGCUUUUGUCAGGGAAGAAAUCCUCUAGGUUAAUACCCUUGGGGGGAUGACGGUACCUGAAGAAUAAGCACCGGCUAACUACGUGCCAGCCGCCGCGGUAACAC